rnacentral:misc_RNA from 1 species
AACAUUGUAAAUAAUUCCAAAACACGCAAGAUCAACUUAACAAAUCAUAUCAUUUUCCAACGACUGAUCACAAUUUCUAGUCAAAUUUCAGUCUUUCAAUUUCUCAAUACAGAAAUACGAUCCCACUAUUAAUCAUCAAAAAAUUACAGUGGAGGAAAGUUAAGUAGGUUAGGACAGUGAACUAGGUCAAGAGUGGUUCCCACUAUUUGUUUAUGUCUAAAUUUAUAUUUGUAUAUUGGCUUACGUGUAAAUUUAUAUUUCUGCUCAGCUAUUUUACACAUUAAAAAGUCUCACACUAAUAAUUUUUUCAACACUAAUUUGAAGUAUUCAGACAAAUUAUUUAUCACCAAUCUCCA